GACGAACGCUGGCGGCGUGCUUAACACAUGCAGGUCGAACGGAAAGGCCCUGCUUGCAGGGUACUCGAGUGGCGAACGGGUGAGUAACACGUGGGUGAUCUGCCCUGCACUUCGGGAUAAGCCUGGGAAACUGGGUCUAAUACCGGAUAGGAGCCAUUUUUAGUGUGAUGGUUGGAAAGUUUUUUCGGUGUAGGAUGAGCUCGCGGCCUAUCAGCUUGUUGGUGGGGUAAUGGCCUACCAAGGCGGCGACGGGUAGCCGGCCUGAGAGGGUGGACGGCCACAUGGGGACUGGGGAAGGGCCCGGACUCCUCCGGGGGGCAGGGGUGGGGAAUAUUGCACAAUGGGCGCAAGCCUGAUGCAGCGACGCCGGGUGGGGGAUGACGGCCUUCGGGUUGUAAACCCCUUUCGCUGGGGACGAAGCUUUUUGGGCCGGUACCUAAAAAAGAAGCACCGGCAAACUCCGU
rnacentral:rRNA from 1 species